UACGGAGGGUGCGAGCGUUGUCCGGAUUUAUUGGGCGUAAAGAGCUCGUAGGCGGCUUGUCGCGUCGACUGUGAAAUCCCGCGGCUCAACCGCGGGUCUGCAGUCGAUACGGGCAGGCUAGAGUUCGGUAGGGGAGACUGGAAUUCCUGGUGUAGCGGUGAAAUGCGCAGAUAUCAGGAGGAACACCGAUGGCGAAGGCAGGUCUCUGGGCCGAUACUGACGCUGAGGAGCGAAAGCGUGGGGAGCGAACAGG
rnacentral:rRNA from 1 species